UACGUAGGGCGCAAGCGUUGUCCGGAAUUAUUGGGCGUAAAGAGCUCGUAGGCGGUUUGUCGCGUCUGCUGUGAAAACCUAAGGCUCAACCUUGGGCUUGCAGUGGGUACGGGCAGACUAGAGUGCGGUAGGGGGUGACUGGAAUUCCUGGUGUAGCGGUGAAAUGCGCAGAUAUCAGGGAGGGAACACCGGUGGGCGAAAGGCGGGGUCUC
rnacentral:rRNA from 1 species